rnacentral:rRNA from 1 species
AUUGAACGCUGGCGGCAGGCCUAACACAUGCAAGUCGAGCGAGCGGCGGACGGGUGAGUAAUGUCUGGGAAACUGCCUGAUGGAGGGGGAUAACUACUGGAAACGGUAGCUAAUACCGCAUACCAUCGGAUGUGCCCCGAUGGGAUUAGCUUGUAGGUGAGGUAACGGCACACCUAGGCGACGAUCCCUAGCUGGUCUGAGAGGAUGACCAGCCACACUGGAACUGAGACACGGUCCAGACUCCUACGGUAGGCAGCAGUGGGGAAUAUUUCAAAAUGGGCGAAAGCCUGAUGCAGCCAUGCCGCGUGUAUGAAGAAGGCCUUCGGGUUGUAAAGUACUUGCAGCGUGGAGGCGUUACCCGCAGAAGAAGCACCGGCUAACUCCGUGCCAGCAGCCGCGGUAAUAC